AUUUUAUACUGAUUAAUAAGAAACUAUUUAUUUACAGAACCUAGUAUUUGAGGACCUUUCAGGCUGUACUACACGCAUAUUUUAGACCAGUACAUUGCUAAUUCUAUUGUGGUCCAGCUCUAAUAAGUAUUAUAAAUAAUGUUUUAAAGAAUCAACACCUAAUAACAUCUGCAGGUUUUGUGAAACAAGUUAGGAAUAAACACAUACUUCCACUUGAAUCCGAAGUGCCCUUUUGAACCUAGUCUUGAGUACUUGGUGACAUUUUUACUAUCAUUUUACUUAUAAGCUUACAGAACUUGAAGCAGCUUUUUUGACUACUAAUCACUGUGAUUAGUAAGUAUAGAGUUGCAUGGUUUGUGUAAAGGACUAGCAUUCUGUAUGGUUUAGUAUUGAUCAGUGUUGGGGAUUCCAUAUUCAACAAGGGGGAAAGACUGAAAGUUGACAAAAUCGGUAAGAAGAAAGCAGCAACAGACAGCCUAAAAUAGAAUGUUCAGAUCACAUACAGUGGUUUUAAUAGUUAAUAGUAUAAGAAUUUUUACUAAAGUUGUGUCCUAAAUUCUCUGAGUUUCACAUUUAAUUUCAAAUAAAAAUUUAACAAUAUCUUGCUUACAUAGGCAAAAACUAAAGACAUUGGUUGAAAAGGCAAAAAUUAAAAUCCUAUAUUACAUCACAAAGGAAAUGAACUAAUGCAGAGAAAGCACAAAUUGUAAAAGACUGAAUUCUCAGGCCAGAGUAUAAUGAUACUUGAAAGCAGUAAUAUAAAUAAAAAACAAACAAUUAGACCAAAGAAGCAGCCACAAUUAUAAUAGACCUUUAAAAAGAUGAUGAAAAUGAAAGAUGAUGCAAUCACAGUAAUAUUUGAGAAAAGUAUAUAUUUUUCAAAGCUGUAAAUUUAUUGUUUAGACUGUUUUUAUCAUAAAGCAUUCAACUUAAGAUUUUUAAAAACCAGGUAGAAAAUUAUGUGUUUUUUUAUUUCUUUUUUUAAUUUUUAUUUUUUUAAAUUAUUAUUAUACUUUAAGUUUUAGGGUACAGGUGCACAAUUUGCAGGUUAGUUACAUAUGUAUACAUGUGCCAUGCUGGUAUGCUGCACCCAUUAACUCGUCAUUUAGCAUUAGGUAUAUCUCCUAAUGCUAUCCCUCCCCCUCCCCCCACCCCACAACAGUCCCCAGAGUGUGAUGUUCCCCUUCCUGUGUCCAUGUGUUCUCAUUGUUCAGUUCCCACCUAUGAGUGAGAAUAUGCGGUGUUUGGUUUUUUGUUCUUGCGAUAGUUUACUGAGAAUGAUGAUUUCCAAUUUCAUCCAUGUCCCUAACAAAGGACAUGAACUCAUUAUUUUUUAUGGCUGCAUAGUAUUCCAUGGUGUAUAUGUGCCACAUUUUCUUCAUCCAGUCUAUCAUUUUUGGACCUUUGGGUUGGUUCCAAGUCUUUGCUAUUGUGAAUAGUGCCGCAAUAAACAUAUGUGUGCAUGUGUCUUUAUAGCAGCAUGAUUUAUAGUCCUUUGGGUAUAUACCCAGUAAUGGGAUGGCAGGGUCAAAUGGUAUUUCUAGUUCUAGAUCCCUGAGGAAUCGCCACACUGACUUCCACAAUGGUUGAACUAGUUUACAGUCCCACCAACAGUGUAAAAGUAUUCCUAAUUCUCCACAUCCUCUCCAGCACCUGUUGUUUCCUGACUUUUUAAUGAUUGCCAUUCUAACUGGUGUGAGAUGGUAUCUCAUUAUGGUUUUGAUUUGCAUUUCUCUGAUGGCCAGUGAUGGUGAGCAUUUUUUCAUGUGUUUUUUGGCUGCAUAAAUGUCUUCUUUUGAGAAGUGUCUGUUCAUGUCCUUCGCCCACUUGUUGAUGGGGUUGUUUUUUUCUUGUAAAUUUGUUUGAGUUCAUUGUAGACUCUGGAUAUUAGCCCUUUGUCAGAUGAGUAGGUUGCAAAAAUUUUCUCCCAUUUUGUAGGUUGCCUGUUCACUCUGAUGGUAGUUUCUUUUGCUGUGCAGAAGCUCUUGAGUUUAAUUAGAUCCCAUUUGUCAAUUUUGUCUUUUGUUGCCAUUGCUUUUGGUGUUUUAGACAUGAAGUCCUUGCCCAUGCCUAUCUCCUGAAUGGUAAUGCCUAGGUUUUCUUCUAGGGUUUUUAUGGUUUUAGGUCUAACGUUUAAGUCUUUAAUCCAUCUUGAAUUAAUUUUUGUAUAAGGUGUAAGGAAGGGAUCCAGUUUCAGCUUUCUACAUAUGGCUAGCCAGUUUUCCCAGCACCAUUUAUUAAAUAGGGAAUCUUUUCCCCAUUGCUUAUUUUUCUCAGGUUCGUCAAAGAUCAGAUAGUUGUAGAUAUGCGGCAUUAUUUCUGAGGGCUCUGUUCUGUUCCAUUGAUCUAUAUCUCUGUUUUGGUACCAGUACCAUGCUGUUUUGGUUAGUGUAGCCUUGUAGUAUAGUUUGAAGUCAGGUAGCGUGAUGCCUCCAGCUUUGUUCUUUUGGCUUAGGAUUGACUUGGCGAUGCAGGCUCUUUUUUGGUUCCAUAUGAACUUUAAAGUAGUUUUUUCCAAUUCUGUGAAGAAAGUCAUUGGUAGCUUGAUGGGGAUGGCAUUGAAUCUAUAAAUUACCUUGGGCAGUAUGGCCAUUUUCAUGAUAUUGAUUCCUCCUACCCAUGAGCAUGGAAUGUUCUUCCAUUUGUUUGUUUCCUCUUUUAUUUCAUUGAGCAGUGGUUUGUAGUUCUCCUUGAAGAGGUCCUUCACAUCCCUUGUAAGUUGGAUUCCUAGGUAUUUUAUUCUCUUUGAAGCAAUUGUGAAUGGGAGUUCACUCAUGAUUUGGCUCUGUGUUUGUCUGUUAUUGGUGUAUAAGAAUGCUUGUGAUUUUUGUACAUUGGUUUUGUAUCCUGAGAAUUUGCUGAAGUUGCUUAUCAGCUUAAGGAGAUUUUGGGCUGAGACAGUGGGGUUUUCUCGUUAUACAAUCAUGUCAUCUGCAAACAGAGACAAUUUGACUUCCUCUUUUCCUAAUUGAAUACCCUUUAUUUCCUUCUCCUGCCUAAUUGCCCUGGCCAGAACUUCCAACACUAUGUUGAUAUGUGUUGUUUUAAGGUACUAUGUACUGACCUUGGAAGUAGAAAAUCAUGGCCACUAUUAGCCCACUGUGUGAAUGGGAAAAAGUUGCCCUUUGGGUGAGCCCAGUGUCAUGCCCAGGCACACAGCUUGGCCAGUGUAGGGUUUUUAUAAACAGUGCUCCUCUGUACCUUCUUGUGUAUAUAUCCCAUGUGCACAUAUUUCUCUAGGGCUGGUUUCAUCUUGGCACCAUUGCACUAGCUGUUACCUCUAACUGCAGUGGUCUUUCCUCAGGUAUUUGCUUGUCUCACUUCCUCAUCUCCUAUGAAUGUUUACUCAGAUGUCAUCUUCUCAGUGAGCAUUUUGCUGACUACCCUAUAUCUUUUUACGUGCUGUAUAAUUUAUUUGUUGUUUUGUCUGUCUUUCCUACUAGUGUCUAAGCUCUGUGAGAGCAGGGACCUUUGCUUCUUUUGUUCCCUGAUACAUUCCUGACACUUAGAACAUUGCCUGGAACAUAGUAGGUGUUCCACAAAUACAUGUUAAAUGAAUAUUUGUUGAAUGAAUAGUCAUCUGGGAGUAUAGAAAAAAGAAUGGACUAUGGGAAUGUAAGAUUGCUACACAGCACUAAUGACCCCCUUACAGUAACUUUUUAAUAAGUUCUACAUUCAAAAAUUAUUGCACAAUAAGUUGUUGGAAUGUAAAUUUUGUGUGUACCUCAUGUACACAAGAGAAUGUGACAUUUUUCAUUGUGGGUUGUGUUAGUCCAUUUUGUAUUGCUAUAAAGAAAUACCCGAGGCUGGGUAACCUAUAAAGAAAAGAGGUUUAAUUGGCUCAUGGUUCUGCACACUUUAUAGGAAGCAUGGUGCUGGCAUCUGCUUCUGUUGAGGCCAUCUGCUUCUACUGAAGCUCACAAUCAUGGCAGAAGGCAUUGAGGAAAGCCAGCAUGUCAUAUGGCAAGAGUGGUAGCAACAGAGCAAGUAGGGAGAGGUCCUUAACUUUUAAACAACCAGAUCUCACAUUAACUGAGCGAGAACUCACUUAUCACCAAGGGGAUGUUGUAAGACCAUUCAUAAGGGAUCUUCCCCUAUGAUCCAAUCAGUUCCCACCAUGCCCCACCUCCAACAUUGGGAAUCACUUAUCAAUGUGAAAUUUAUCAGAGGUACAACCGUGUCCCAGUAAUGAGUGAAAUUUUGAGUAAAGUACAUGUUACAUAAAUAUGUGCACUGAAGAUGUUGAAUUAAUUUAAGGGAGAAAAUUUCAAUAGUAGCAACAUCAAAACAGCAGAUACAUUGUGGAGACUCUGAAAUUUUAAGGCAGGCAAUAUCAGCAUUAGAAAAGUUUGAGCUUCAUGUUUGCCCUUUUUUUGACUUCAGCAUUUCGACUAUAUUGACAGCUCAUUCAGAGUACCCUUACCCCUGUCAUAGUUACUUGAUUGUCUACCAUAUCCCUUUAAUGGGAGGAAAUUUAUUUUCUAAAAUCCAUUCUCUUUUAAGCAGAAAAUUUCUAAUCCUAGAAGGAUGAUUUUUUAGGUGUUUGUUUAGUCUAAGAUAAAACUUUGUCCAUUGAACAUGUGGUCAUUUGUCUUUGGUAAAUUAGGCUUAUAGUAAAAGUUGGAUAAUAUAGUCACCUGGGCCUAUUUCACCAGGUUAAAUUACACAGGACUGACUAGCUUCUUGUGGUGGUGCAAUUAUAGGCCUUUUCUGCCAGUCCACAGAUAAGGAGUAGAAAAACUUUAUCUGUUAUAAUACUCUGGCUAAUGAGUUGCUGAGAACAGGACCCAACCAUGUAGUUAUAUA
rnacentral:lncRNA from 10 species